GACGAACGCUGGCGGCGUGCUUAACACAUGCAAGUCGAACGGCGUGGCGAACGGGUGAGUAUUACGUGAGUAACCUGCCCUCAACUGUGGGAUAAGCCUGGGAAACUGGGUCUAAUACUGCAUAGGUGGGGAUGGGCUCGGGGCCUAUCAGCUUGUUGGUGGGGUGAUGGCCUACCAAGGCGGUGACGGGUAGCCGGCCUGAGAGGGUGACCGGCCACAGUGGGACUGAGAUACGGCCCAGACGCCUAAGGGGGGCGGAAGGUGGGGAUAUUGCACAAUGGGCGAAAGCCUGAUGCAGCGAGGCCGCGUGGGGGAUGAAGGCUUUCGGGUUGUAAACCUCUUUCGCUAGCGAACGGGUAGGUGGAGAAGAAGCGCCGGCUAACUACGUGCCAGCAGCCGCGGUAAUAC
rnacentral:rRNA from 1 species